GACAGAGGGUGCAAACGUUGUUCGGAAUUACUGGGCGUAAAGCGCGUGUAGGCGGCCCUGCAAGUCGGAUGUGAAAUCCCACGGCUCAACCGUGGAAGUGCAUUCGAAACUGCAGGGCUAGAGUCCUGGAGAGGAAGGUGGAAUGCUUGGUGUAGAGGUGAAAUUCGUAGAUAUCAAGCGGAACACCGGUGGCGAAAGCGACUGCCUGGACCAAUACUGACGCUCAUGUGCGAAAGCGUGGGGAGCAAACAGG
rnacentral:rRNA from 1 species